GUUCCCAUGGUGUAGUGGUUAUCACGUCCUAUUCACACACGGAAGGUCCCAGGUUUGAAACCUGGACGGAACA